AUUGAACGCUGGCGGCAGGCUUAACACAUGCAAGUCGAGCGAGCGGCGGACGGGUGAGUAAUGUCUGGGAAACUGCCUGAUGGAGGGGGAUAACUACUGGAAACGGUAGCUAAUACCGCAUACCAUCAGAUGAACCCAUAUGGGAUUAGCUAGUAGGUAAGGUAACGGCUUACCUAGGCGACGAUCCCUAGCUGGUCUGAGAGGAUGAUGCGCCACACUGGGACUGAGACACGGCCCAGACUCCUACGGGAGGCAGCAGUGGGGAAUAUUGCACAAGGGGCGCAAGCCUGAUGCAGUCAUGCCGCGUGUAUGAAGAAGGCGUUCGGUUUGUAAAGUACUUUCAGUCGGGAGGCGUUACCGACAGAAGAAGCACCGGCUAACUCCGUGCCAGCAGCCGCGGUAAUUC
rnacentral:rRNA from 1 species